rnacentral:rRNA from 1 species
CAUGCAAGUCGAGCGGUAAGGCCCUUCGGGGUACACGAGCGGCGAACGGGUGAGUAACACGUGGGUGAUCUGCCUUGCACUCUGGGAUAAGCCUGGGAAACUGGGUCUAAUACCGGAUAUGACCUGCAGUUGCAUGACUGUGGGUGGAAAGAUUUAUCGGUGCAAGAUGAGCCCGCGGCCUAUCAGCUUGUUGGUGGGGUAAUGGCCUACCAAGGCGACGACGGGUAGCCGGCCUGAGAGGGCGACCGGCCACACUGGGACUGAGACACGGCCCAGACUCCUACGGGAGGCAGCAGUGGGGAAUAUUGCACAAUGGGCGAAAGCCUGAUGCAGCGACGCCGCGUGAGGGAUGACGGCCUUCGGGUUGUAAACCUCUUUCGACUCCGACGAAGCGAAAGUGACGGUAGGAGUAUAAGAAGCACCGGCCAACUACGUGCCAGCAGCCGCGGUAAUACGUAGGGUGCGAGCGUUGUCCGGAAUUACUGGGCGUAAAGAGCUUGUAGGCGGCUUGUCGCGUCGAUCGUGAAAACUCGGGGCUCAACCCC